rnacentral:misc_RNA from 1 species
CGAAAACGGGGAAGAAAACCAGCGAAUGGAAGAGAAGAGCCCUUGAAUCAUGUUGAAGCAGAGAGGCAGAGAAGAGAGAAACUUAACCAGAGGUUCUAUGCCCUGCGAGCUGUAGUUCCCAAUGUGUCAAAGAUGGACAAAGCUUCGCUUCUUGGAGAUGCCAUAGCUUACAUUAAGGAGCUCCAAGCAAAGCUGCAAACUGCAGAGUCUGAUAAGGAGGAGAUGGAGAAGCAAGUGGAAUCAAUGAAGGAGGAGUUUGCUAGCAAAGAUUCACGCCCAGGACCACCUCCUCCUGAUCAAGAACUCAAGAUGUCAAAUAAGCAUGGAAGCAAAGCAAUGGAAAUGGAUAUCGAUGUGAAGAUAAUUGGGUGCGAUGCAAUGAUACGAAUCCAAUGUAGCAAAAAGAAUCACCCA